UCUAAGGUGACUGCCGGCUAAAGUCGGAGGAAGGUGGGGAUGACGUCAAAUCAUCAUGCCCCUUAUGACCUGGACUACACACGUGCUACAAUGGGCGGUACGAAAGGGUCGCGAACCCGCGAGGGGGAGCCAAUCCCAAAAAGCCGCUCUCAGUUCGGAUUGCAGGCUGCAACUCGCCUGCAUGAAGCCGGAAUCGCUAGUAAUCGCGGAUCAGCAUGCCGCGGUGAAUACGUUCCCGGGCCUU
rnacentral:rRNA from 1 species